GACGAACGCUGGCGGCGUGCUUAACACAUGCAAGUCGAACGGAAAGUCCCUGCUUUUGUGGGGUGCUCGAGUGGCGAACGGGUGAGUAACACGUGAGUAACCUGCCCUUGACUUUGGGAUAACUUCAGGAAACUGGGGCUAAUACCGGAUAGGAGCUCCUGCUGCAUGGUGGGGGUUGGAAAGUUUCGGCGGUUGGGGAUGGACUCGCGGCUUAUCAGCUUGUUGGUGGGGUAGUGGCUUACCAAGGCUUUGACGGGUAGCCGGCCUGAGAGGGUGACCGGCCAAAUUGGGACUGAGAUACGGCCCAGACUCCUACGGGAGGCAGCAGUGGGGAAUAUUGCACAAUGGGCGGAAGCCUGAUGCAGCAACGCCGCGUGCGGGAUGACGGCCUUCGGGUUGUAAACCGCUUUCGCCUGUGACGAAGCGUGAGUGACGGUAAUGGGUAAAGAAGCACCGGCUAACUACGUG
rnacentral:rRNA from 1 species